UGGCUGGUGGGAACCAAUUCUUCCAGGGGCCCAAGGGGGCCCGGCUGGCGCUUGGCACCCGGGGGGCCCCUCGGAGGAUCCUCAGAGUCUUACGGAAGCGCGGAGACCCUCCCCAACCUGGAAUUACCGCCUUCCCCGCCUCCCACCGGCAACACUUCGCUGGGCUGGGCCCCAGACUCAGCAGCCCCGCCCCCUGUUGAAGCGCCCCCAAUCCAAGCUGUUAAUCGAUGAACCGAUUACCCAGGGCCGUCCGGAGCUCUCGGGAAUCUCCCACUCAAAGAGAGAGCCUCGACUCCAAGACCUGGGCUACCAUGUCCUAAGCCGGAAGGAUGCUAGGAUGCUGAGAACAAAGGACACAGGUCUUGCCCUCAAGUGGCCCGCAGCCCAGUGAGAGGGAGCCCAAGUGGCUGGUGUCAAGGGCUGCUCUGAGGUGAGCCAGGUGCCCAGUAGAUACUGACUGGUAGAUGGACUGACGACUUGGCGUUUUCUUGCUGAGCUUCCUUUCCCGGGAGCAACAAACCCCGACAGGGAGCACUAGCCUCUGCUCACCCAGGACUCCGGAAAUGUACUCCCACCUUGGAUCGCUGGCAUCUUGUACCACUGCCUGCCCACCUGACCAGAUGUCCCCUGAACUCUGCCACCGUGAAGACCUGCUUUCCCUGACACCAGCCAUCUGGUCAGCAGCUGGGAAGUCAAGCCCAAGGUGUCCUGGGAGCCCCCCCCCCAAAAAAAACGGGCAUCUCCUAUCCUCUGCAGGACUGCCAGGGGAAGAGAAAUGAGAUGAGUCUGUGGCACAGAGGAUGGGAACAGGCCCACUGCGGACAAAAUAAAGGACUGUUGUGCUAAGUGGC